rnacentral:rRNA from 1 species
UACGGAGGGGGCUAGCGUUGUUCGGAAUGACUGGGCGUAAAGCGCGCGUAGGCGGAUCAUCAAGUCGGGGGUGAAAUCCCGGGGCUCAACCCCGGAAUGGCCUUCGAGACUGGUGGUCUUGAGUUCGAGAGAGGUGAGUGGAAUUCCGAGUGUAGAGGUGAAAUUCGUAGAUAUUCGGAGGAACACCAGUGGCGAAGGCGGCUCACUGGCUCGACACUGACGCUGAGGUGCGAAAGCGUGGGGAGCAAACAGG